GCCUGGGUGGCUCAGUCGGUUGAGCGUCCGACUUCAGCUCGGGUCAUGAUCUCACAGUCCGUGAGUUCGAGCCCCACGUCAGGCU
rnacentral:tRNA from 1 species